UUGCUUUUGGAAGCACAUAUGCUAAAAUUAGAAUGAUACAGAGAGGCCCUUUGUAAGGAAAACACAUAAACCCAUGAUGCAUUCCAUAUUUGC
ensembl:snRNA U6 U6 spliceosomal RNA